rnacentral:sRNA from 1 species
CUCUAACCCACACACGUAUCGACACGAUGACCUGGGUGCCCGGGCCUUGCGGCCUUGGGUUGGAUCAUUGGGAUGCGUGGAGGCCUAAC